rnacentral:rRNA from 1 species
GACGAACGCUGGCGGCGUGCUUAACACAUGCAAGUCGAACGGAAAGGCCCUGCUUGCAGGGUACUCGAGUGGCGAACGGGGGAGUAACACGUGGGUGAUCUGCCCUGCACUUCGGGAUAAGCCUGGGAAACUGGGUCUAAUACCGGAUAGGAGCCAUUUUUAGUGUGAUGGUUGGAAAGUUUUUUCGGUGUAGGAUGAGCUCGCGGCCUAUCAGCUUGUUGGUGGGGUAAUGGCCUACCAAGGCGGCGACGGGUAGCCGGCCUGAGAGGGUGGACGGCCACAUUUGGACUGAGAUACGGCCCAGACUCCUACGGGAGGCAGCAGUGGGGAAUAUUGCACAAUGGGCGCAAGCCUGAUGCAGCGACGCCGCGUGGGGGAUGACGGCCUUCGGGUUGUAAACUCCUUUCGCUAGGGACGAAGCUUUUUGUGACGGUACCUAGAUAAGAAGCACCGGCUAACUACGUG